rnacentral:rRNA from 1 species
GAUGAACGCUGGCGGCGUGCUUAACACAUGCAAGUCGAACGAUGAACCUCACUUGUGGGGGGAUUAGUGGCGAACGGGUGAGUAACACGUGAGUAACCUGCCCUUAACUCUGGGAUAAGCCUGGGAAACUGGGUCUAAUACCGGAUAUGACUCCUCAUCGCAUGGUGGGGGGUGGAAAGCUUUUUGUGGUUUUGGAUGGACUCGCGGCCUAUCAGCUUGUUGGUGAGGUAAUGGCUCACCAAGGCGACGACGGGUAGCCGGCCUGAGAGGGUGACCGGCCACACUGGGACUGAGACACGGCCCAGACUCCUACGGGAGGCAGCAGUGGGGAAUAUUGCACAAUGGGCGCAAGCCUGAUGCAGCGACGCCGCGUGAGGGAUGACGGCCUUCGGGUUGUAAACCUCUUUCAGUAGGGAAGAAGCGAAAGUGACGGUACCUGCAGAAGAAGCGCCGGCUAACUACGUGCCAGCAGCCGCGGUAAUACGUAGGGCGCAAGCGUUAUCCGGAAUUAUUGGGCGUAAAGAGCUCGUAGGCGGUUUGUCGCGUCUGCCGUGAAAGUCCGGGGCUCAACUCCGGAUCUGCGGUGGGUACCGGCAGACUAGAGUGAUGUAGGGGAGACUGGAAUUCCUGGUGUAGCGGUGAAAUGCCCAUAUAUCAGGAGGAACACCGAUGGCGAAGGCAGGUCUCUGGGCAUUAACUG